UAUAUACCCCCAAACAGGGUGUUUCACAUAUGAUUGAAAUGUCCCUCCCACAAUGGUCACAAGAUUGCCCUGUCAGCACAGCGCUUGAUGGACACAGCAGGAGGCAAGUCUGUUGUCUGGAGCUGGGCGGUCACAGGCCGACAACACAUCCCAGGACAUCAGCUGGAUUGUGAAGUUCUCUUCCGGCUCCUGUCCCUGGGUGCUGGACUGACUCGCUACCAACUGCCGGCACCCGUCCUACACACGCCUGCCCUCAUAGGUUCAGUCAUUCCCCAAACUCCACCACAAUCCAGGGGCCCAGAAUUCCAAUGACCCAUCAGGGUAGUCAGCAGGGAUUCUCUGGAAACUGUCUGCUCCACAGGGACAAAGAUGGCGUCCGUCUUGCCUGCACUGUGUCCCAGUGCCCAGCACAGCGCCCAGCCACAGAGAAGUUCAAACACCGAGGACGAGAAGGGAUGUUAGAGUCCCCAUCUGAACUCCCGCCGUUGGCGCUGCAUGUGGCUUCUCCUGGGACCCAGGCUGCCACCACCUUAUCCCCCUGUGUACCGAUAUGAGGCAUCUUUUCAAUGUCCCCCAAACUGAGGUUUCUCGGGGUUGGGGUUCUGUCUUGCUGAGGCCAGGUCCCCAGUACAGCUGCUGACUUCUCUGAUGUGGACUUCUGAUUGGCUGGCAGGGCUUUCCUGGUGUCCUGCCCACCUGCAGAGCUGGGACAUCCCCUUAACUAUGCUUAAGGGUCUCAUCUCCCAGGACCUUGCCUUGAAGACUAUCAUCUGCCAUGAGCAUGGCCUCUGCUGUAGAAAUCUCUAAUCCUUCAAUUAACUUUUCCUGCUGUAGCAAGAUUAGGUCAAAAGACUGUCUUCUCUGGUUGAGCCAGAACCAAACAACGUUCCUAAGACUUUUCAACAACUUGCUUACACUCUGGUUUCCACAAUGUUGGAAGUAAGGUGACUAUUAUACCUCCAGCUCGCGUCACAGUAGAAGUCUGUGGAAACCACCCAAAAUGUCAGCCCCGCAAUUCAUGCACUACUGUGUUGAUCCCCUUGUUUAGUCUGUCAAAGCCUCAGUUUCCUCAUCUGUCAAAUGGGACAACAGCUAACUUCAAGGAUUUUAUGGGGAUCAGAGUGAAUCCUGUGCUGAAGGAUGCUCCCUGCCUGACACAGCAUGCACACUCUGACUGGAGCCUCCGUCCACUUUUCUUGCUGGAGCCUCCGUCCACUUUUCUUGCUUGGGAACUCUUCUUU
rnacentral:lncRNA from 1 species